UACGUAGGUGGCGAGCGUUGUCCGGAUUUACUGGGCGUAAAGAGCGCGCAGGCGGUCGUACAAGUCGCGUGUGAAAGCCCCGGCUCAACUGGGGAGGGUCACGCGAUACUGUUCGACUCGAAGGCAGGAGAGGGAAGUGGAAUUCCCGGUGUAGUGGUGAAAUGCGUAGAUAUCGGGAGGAACACCAGUGGCGAAGGCGACUUCCUGGCCUGUUCUUGACGCUGAGGCGCGAAAGCUAGGGUAGCAAACGGG
rnacentral:rRNA from 1 species